UUCCGUAGGUGAACCUGCGGAAGGAUCAUUAUCGAAUGAAUGUAGAGUUGGUUGUCGCUGGCCUUUGUUGGCAUGUGCACGCCUUCUCUUUCAUCCACACACACCUGUGCACCUGUAGACGGAGUGAGGCUCGCCCUUUUGCGAGGGUGAUUUUCUCUCCGUCUGCCAAUACACAAACUCAUUGUAUUUAAUUUGAAUGUAAUCGAUGUAACGCAUCUAUGAACUAAGUUUCAACAACGGAUCUCUUGGCUCUCGCAUCGAUGAAGAACGCAGCGAAAUGCGAUAAGUAAUGUGAAUUGCAGAAUUCAGUGAAUCAUCGAAUCUUUGAACGCACCUUGCGCUCCUUGGUAUUCCUUGGAGCAUGCCUGUUUGAGUAUCAUGAAAUUAUCAAAACAAACCUUUUGUUGAUUCGAUUGGUUCUUUGUUUUGGACUUGGAGGUUUCUUUGCGGAUUCACCUCUGCUCCUCUUAAAAAUAUUAGCUGGAUCUCAGCGACCCUCGGUUCCACUCAGCGUGAUAAGUAUCAUUCGCUGAGGACACCCGUAAAAAAGGUGGCCGGGAGCGCAGAUGAACUGCUUCCAACAGUCCAUUGAAUUGGACAACACACUUUAUGAUCUGAUCUCAAAUCAGGUAGGACUACCCGCUGAACUU
rnacentral:rRNA from 1 species